GAUGAACGCUAGCGGGAGGCCUAACACAUGCAAGCCGAGCGGUAUUGUUUCUUCGGAAAUGCGAGAGCGGCGUACGGGUGCGUAACACGUGUGCAACCUGCCUUUAUCUGGGGGAUAGCCUUUCGAAAGGAAGAUUAAUACUCCAUAAUAUAUUGAACGGCAUCGUUUAAUAUUGAAAGCUCCGGCGGAUAGAGAUGGGCACGCGCAAGAUUAGCUAGUUGGUGAGGUAACGGCUCACCAAGGCGAUGAUCUUUAGGGGGCCUGAGAGGGUGAUCCCCCACACUGGUACUGAGACACGGACCAGACUCCUACGGGAGGCAGCAGUGAGGAAUAUUGGUCAAUGGGUGCAAGCCUGAACCAGCCAUCCCGCGUGAAGGACGACUGCCCUAUGGGUUGUAAACUUCUUUUGUAUAGGGAUAAACCUACCCUCGAGAGGGUAGCUGAAGGUACUAUGCGAAUAAGCACCGGCUAACUCCGUG
rnacentral:rRNA from 1 species